UAUUUCUUUUCUUUUACUUAAGAAAGAGUCUGUGUUUUCAAUAUUAAAAUGUAGAUGCUCCACACCCAUGAGAGAUUCUCCAUCACUCCCUCUGCCUCUGGUCAGUGGUUGGAAGGUUUCAUCCUAUAAGACU
rnacentral:lncRNA from 1 species